UACGUAGGGUGCAAGCGUUGUCCGGAUUUAUUGGGCGUAAAGCGUCCGUAGGCGGUUAAGCAAGUUUGGUGUUAAAGCCCGGAGCUCAACUCCGGAUCGGCAUUGAAAACUGCUUAACUAGAGUGCAAUAGGGGAAGCUGGAAUUUCCGGUGUAGCGGUGAAAUGCGUAGAUAUCGGAAGGAACACCAGUAGCGAAAGCGGCAUUCUGGGAUAAUACUGACGCUGAGGUGCGAAAGCGUGGGGAGCAAACAGG
rnacentral:rRNA from 1 species